ACUCUCCAUCUCGUUCCCUGCCACUGAAUGGAGGCUCUCCAGGAUGGCGGGGCCACCGGGGCCCUGGAACCCUAAAUGACUGCAGGGAGCAGAGCUCUGCCUCCCCAUCAACCCACUUCAGAUUCGGCUAUGCCUGAAACGCAGAUGCAAGGGCUGGAGCUCUGCAGACACUGGGACCAGAGGUGACCUUGAGGAUGGAAGCCAUGUGUUGGGAAAAUGGAACAGAAAGAUGAGUGGAACUUGGACUAUGAAUGUCUCUUGCCAUACUUGGACUGUCUGCCUCCAGACAUCCUCUAAAAGAAGAUUUUUAAAAUAACAAUAUACCUUUGUCCCAUUUGAGCCACAACUGUUGAGUUUACUGAUCUAUACUGCCAAACCUAAUUCCACCAAUAUACCUCACGACCCAGCAAUUACGCUCUUCAGAAACUGCCCUAGAGAUGCUCACACAUGCACACAGAGGCACAAAGAUGUUCAGUGUUGCUUGGACUAGCAAAGACAAACAGACAA
rnacentral:lncRNA from 1 species